GAAAAUUACACUCUGUUUUAUCAAUUAGGAUAACGCGAAAAAUAAUGCCAACAUGCACUGUCUUUUGAUGUCGUAUAGUGGUUCAUUUUUUAAAGCAAUUGAAGCACUACAAAGAUUGCCUGUGGCAGCGACACAAAUGAUUUUUCAGACCAUCAAAAAUUGUCUUGUGAUUGCUAUAUAGAAUAAAGGGGAGAGAGGAGAAUUUUUCCUUUCGAUAGUAA